AUGGAUCAGGCGAAGGCUAAAGCUCAUGGUGGUCGCGAGGGUGCUGCUGCUGAUGGCGUACAGCAGCGUGCUCUGGCUACUGCUGGAGUCCAGCGAUGGAAGAGGCUUCAUCGAGAAGAGCAGGAAGAGAAGGAGAUGGUGCAAUCUGCAUGUGCUAAACAUGUGGUUUUUGGCAUCCCCACGCCACCAAACAGCGGCAGCGAGCUCUCCAGUCGCAAGAUGAUUUUUGCUGCCAUGCUUGAGAGUACGGCAGGUAGCAAGAGGCGAUCCCCUGAUGACAAAGACUUCGUGUUAAGCAUGAAUAGUACUAGUACUGGAAGUCUAGAGGUUAGGGAUGCUAUGGAUGUGAGUAUGAAUUGUAAAAGAGUGUGUGUUGAGAGAGUUGGUACUAGAGUAGGCAUAGAUGGGUCUACUAUUCAUGUAACUGAAGAGGUAGAUGGGGGAGUGGAGGUGGAUCAGGACAAAAGAAGAGAGUCUGUAGGGGAUGAAAAAGAUGUAGAGGAUGGAAAAGAUUGUGUGUUGAGAGAGUUGGUACUAGAGUAG
rnacentral:rRNA from 1 species